GAACGAACGCUGGCGGCAGGCUUCAUACAUGCAAGUCGAGCGAUUAAAGCCCCUUCGGGGGUGUAUAAAGCGGCGAACGGGUGAGUAACAGGUGGAUAAUCUGCCUUUCGGUGGGGGAUAACAGCGGGAAACUGCUGCUAAUACCGCAUUCGAUUGCGGGCGCCUUGGCGCCUGCAAGGAAAGGGGCUUCACGGCCUCGCCGAGAGAUGAGUCCGCCCCCCAUUAGCUAGUUGGCGAGAUAAUAGCUCACCAAGGCUUCGAUGGGUAGCCGAGCUGAGAGGUUGAUCGGCCACACUGGGACUGAGACACGGCCCAGACACCUACGGGUGGCAGCAGUAGGGAAUAUUGGACAAUGGGCGAAAGCCUGAUCCAGCCAUGCCGCGUGAGUGAUGAAGGCCUUCGGGUCGUAAAACUCUUUUCUGAGGGACGAACCACCGGUUGAGGAAAUGCUUCCGGUCUGACGGUACCUCAGGAAUAAGCAACGGCUAACUCCGUGCCAGCAGCCGCGGUAAUACGGAGGUUGCGAGCGUUGUUCGGAUUAACUGGGCGUAAAGGGAGCGCAGGCGGCCUGAUCAGUCUGGAGUGGAAUCCCGGAGCUCAACUCCGGAAUAGCUUUGGAUACUGUCGGGCUCGAGUUCGUGAGGGGAAAGCGGAAUUCCAGGUGUAGCGGUGAAAUGCGUAGAUAUCUGGAGGAACACCCUUGGCGAAAGCGGCUUUCUGGCACGAUACUGACGCUGAGGCUCGAAAGCGUGGGGAGCGAACAGGAUUAGAUACCCUGGUAGUCCACGCCGUAAACGUUGUGCACUAGGUGUGGGAGGUAUCGACCCCUUCCGUGCCGAAGCUAACGCAUUAAGUGCACCGCCUGGGGAGUACGGUCGCAAGGCUGAAACUCAAAGGAAUUGACGGGGGCCUGCACAAGCAGUGGAUUAUGUGGUUUAAUUCGAAGCAACGCGAAGAACCUUACCAGGACUUGACAUCCUCUGACCGCUCUAGAGAUAGAGCUUCUCUUCGGAGCAGAGAGACAGGUGGUGCAUGGUUGUCGUCAGCUCGUGUCGUGAGAUGUUGGGUUAAGUCCCGCAACGAGCGCAACCCCUAUUGCCAGUUGCCAUCAUUUAGUUGGGAACUCUGGCGAGACUGCCGUGGAUAACACGGAGGAAGGUGGGGACGACGUCAAAUCAUCAUGCCCCUUAUGUCCUGGGCUACACACGUAAUACAAUGGUAACGACAGAGGGCAGCUACCCCGCGAGGGCAAGCGAAUCCUAAAACGUUAUCUCAGUUCGGAUUGCAGGCUGCAACUCGCCUGCAUGAAGUCGGAAUUGCUAGUAAUGGCAGGUCAGCAUACUGCCGUGAAUACGUUCCCGGGCCU
rnacentral:rRNA from 1 species